rnacentral:tRNA from 1 species
UGCAGGAUGGUGUAAUGGUUAACAUGCCGGUUUCGUUGUCCGGUGCUGUAGGUUCGAGUCCUGCUCCUGCAUCCA